CCGCACAGUUUGGAUUCAACCAGAAAGCUUGCGGCAACACCGGAGAAAGUGGCUGCUGUGAAGAGUGCAGAUUGGUGUGGGAUUUGUGAUGCCACUCAACAAGUGGCAUUACAUACUAAAGUGUACCUCCGAAGCCAAGUGCGCAUUAGGUCUGGCACAGCACCUGUGGACACCAACACAAGCUGGGGAAAGAAGCCUGACUGGGCCGGUCAGCCGGACUAUCUCUGAUGCAUCUGGGAAGCUUCUGGCAACACCAGAGAAAGUGGCUGCUGUGAAGAACUGCCUGGAGAAGUACAUCGGGGAACAUCCGAUGGGGCCACCAGCACCACCUCCAGAGUACCACCUUGCUUCUGUAACGAAGCACCUUUGGAGCUUCUCCACAGAAGCGGGCGCGAG
rnacentral:lncRNA from 1 species